CUUAUUUUUUUCCGAAAUAAUUAUUUAAAUUGAAGUGUAUAAGUCAUUUUCAUACAGUGGUAUUGUUUUUGGAGUUAAUAAUUUAUUAAAACUAAGGCGUAAAGUAAGCAACAUAUAAGCAAAAAAAGACGCUAUCCCCAGGUAUCACAGGCUCAGUCUGUCUGUGACCUACAUAAUAUAGCAUAUUUGUGAUUUAGCUGUAAACAUGUUUUAUAAUGCAUAAAUAACAGGGGAGCUCCAUUAAGUACACGACUCAAUAGUAGAUUUACAUAAACUAUAUAUACUUCUUGAAGACUAGUACUAAAAUGUCUAUUUAUCAUCUGACUGGAUAAUGUUUGAUAAGUAUUGUAGAUGAGCACAUCCAACAGACAUGAAACAGGUGUCUGAGUGAUAUGUGUGUGUGAUAUUGUGUAGAAUUCACUUUUGUCAACACUGCUAUAGAUGAAUGUGAGUCAUGUAAACAAACAAAUCUACAUAAAGUAACUAAACAUAAGUUAUCUAUUUUAUUUGUCCAUUUGCAAUAUUGAUAAUUUAAGGAACAUUUGUGUUGGAUAAAAAGUGAGUUACAUCAGUUAUUAGUUCAACAUGUAAAUGCAGUAUAUCACAGAUAUAUAACAGAGGAGACUGACUCUUGUCUGGAUGUUACAGGGACAGAUGAGACACAUGUGUGUUUAUCUGCUGUAGAGUAACUGAUGAAGGAAUGCUACCAUCAAAGGAUUUGUAUCUUUUGUGGUGGAGCAGGACCUGCAAGGAAAGGUGAAAAAGAGGGAAAACCUGAAACAAAAGAAUAAUGUAAUGACUUUUUGUAUUGUGUAUUUUUGUAGGACAUGAACAUGUCUGUAGACUGGUGUGUGCACUGAGGAUGGAGAAGACCACAGCAUCAUCCUGGAAAUGAUCGAGAGUCACAGAUGAGAUGCUCCAUCACUCCAGCUCUUACCGUCUCAUCAGGACCAGAUGCUGCUGUGGUGUCUUCAUCCUCAGUGACCCCAGAGCCAGUGAGAGCAUCUAGAGAAAGACCACAAGACACUGAGGAUGUGAUUUUGGUAAUGUUUGUUCAGCUGGUUAAUGUUUAAACAAUGAAGGCUGACUUUCAGAAGCUUCAAAAGCAUCAUCAAAAAAUGUGAUGGAGCUUUUAUCUGAAGUGAUUGACAGUGCUCUUAUAACAGGGGCCUACAAUCCCCUGAUCAACCUGGAGAAGAGAGCCUUGCUCAAGGACACACUGGUGUUCCUGUGGCUCAAGGGGUAGAGCAUUGCGUUAGCAGUGCAAGGUUGUGGGUUCGAAUACCAGGGAACACAUGUUAGGUAGUCGUGCUCAUGGGGUGCAGGCACACGAAAGUUUGGAGCAGACACAGCAGUCAGAUUGUCCUGCACGUGUUCCCCUGCUCUAGCUUCAAGGUUGUGUGGUUCAGAGAGCCGUCAUCAAGGUCUUCCUCAUCCUGUUGCUCAACGACAUCCCCAUUGAGAAGAGUGCGAUUGUGAAGUGCAGCGGCAGAACUGUAUCAGCUGUGUUCAGAUGGCAGGAGGAUGUUGGGUUCACCAUCUGUAAAUACUUGAUUGUUAGAACAAUAAGUUUGAAUGAAGCUUUGUAUCAUGUGUUGUUGACUUGUGCAUGUAUGCAUUUAUUGUGAUGCUAACUUUUAUACAUUAUUUUAAUCAUUUAGACAUAUUUUUGGUUGUCAGUAAAUAAAAUAUAAAUAUUUUAUCCAUUAA